rnacentral:misc_RNA from 1 species
AAGUCGUAACAAGGUUUCCGUAGGUGAACCUGCGGAAGGAUCAUUAAAAUAAUACGCCCCAGCUAAGGUGUUAAAAACGCUGACUGCUGGUGGUUGUGCUCAACCACUUGUUUACUUGUACCUGUUGCUUCCGUGGAGUUACGGGUGCUCGCCCUGUUCGCAGGUGUGGGUUACCUUCCACGGGUUUAGUUUGAACGCUUGUUUUUUUGCAUGUUAUGUCUGAAUUGCUAUUGUAAUAAAGUUAAAACUUUCAACAACGGAUCUCUAGGUUCUC